AUGGGGUACCGGCCAGCCUAUGGAAGUGGCGGUGGCGGUGGAGGUGGAGGUUUUGUCCACCAUAACAACCUCCAUAACCACCAUCAAUUGCACGAUGGAACAAUGGGUGGAGUUAUGGGUGCCCCAGCUGGUGGAGCAGCAUUUGACGGCGGCGGUGGAGCUGGAGGAGGUGGUGCGGGAGGAGGAGGAGGAGGAGCUAGUGCGUGUUAA